rnacentral:rRNA from 1 species
AACGAACGCUGGCGGCAUGCCUAACACAUGCAAGUCGAACGAGACCUUCGGGUCUAGUGGCGCACGGGUGCGUAACGCGUGGGAACCUGCCCUUAGGUUCGGAAUAACUCCCCGAAAGGGGUGCUAAUACCGGAUAAUGUCUUCGGACCAAAGAUUUAUCGCCUUUGGAUGGGCCCGCGUUGGAUUAGCUAGUUGGUAGGGUAAAAGCCUACCAAGGCGACGAUCCAUAGCUGGUCUGAGAGGAUGAUCAGCCACACUGGGACUGAGACACGGCCCAGACUCCUACGGGAGGCAGCAGUGGGGAAUAUUGGACAAUGGGCGAAAGCCUGAUCCAGCAAUGCCGCGUGAGUGAUGAAGGCCUUAGGGUUGUAAAGCUCUUUUACCCGGGAUGAUGAUGACAGUACCGGGAGAAUAAGCUCCGGCUAACUCAGUG